AACGUUGUUGAGCAUUGAAAAACAUGGCAGCUGGUAGUAUGGGCAAAGGUCAGGGUCGAAUGUCGUCACACUCAAUAGUGACGCCAUCUGUUUUGUUCUAUGACGUUUCCAUAUUUGUAAAAAGUGGGACAGUGACCUCCAUCAUUUGUUGUUAGCAGAAAAAAUGCUU